rnacentral:rRNA from 1 species
UACGAAGGGGGCUAGCGUUGCUCGGAAUCACUGGGCGUAAAGCGCACGUAGGCGGAUUGUUAAGUCAGGGGUGAAAUCCUGGAGCUCAACUCCAGAACUGCCUUUGAUACUGGCGAUCUCGAGUCCGGGAGAGGUGAGUGGAACUGCGAGUGUAGAGGUGAAAUUCGUAGAUAUUCGCAAGAACACCAGUGGCGAAGGCGGGUCUCUGGACAGUUCCUGACGCUGAGGCACGAAGGCCAGGGGAGCAAACGGG